rnacentral:rRNA from 1 species
AGUGGAGGCGAACCCGGCGAACUGAAACAUCUAAGUAGCCGGAGGAAAAGAAAUCAACCGAGAUUCCGCAAGUAGUGGCGAGCGAACGCGGAAGAGCCUGUACGUGAUAGCAGUCGUGUUAGAAGAACGGUCUGGAAAGGCCGGCCAUAGUGGGUGAUAGCCCCGUAUUCGAAAACACAAUUGUGGUACUGAGCGUACGAGAAGUAGGGCGGGACACGUGAAAUCCUGUCUGAAGAUGGGGGGACCAUCCUCCAAGGCUAAAUACUCAUGAUCGACCGAUAGUGAACCAGUACCGUGAGGGAAAGGCGAAAAGAACCCCGGGAGGGGAGUGGAAACAGAACCUGAAACCGGAUGCAUACAAACAGUGGGAGCCUGGAAACGGGUGACUGCGUACCUUUUGUAUAAUGGGU